GGGCCCGUGGGGUAGCUGGAUAUCCUCGGGGCCUCCGGAAGCCCCUUUCUAAAGAAAGCGGCUUUACCCGUAAAGAAGGGGUUUAAGAAAGCCCUUGACCCGGGUUCGAAUCCCGGCGGGCCCG
rnacentral:tRNA from 1 species